UGGGGAAUCUUGGGCAAUGGGCGCAAGCCUGACCCAGCCAUGCCGCGUGUGCGAAGAAGGCCUUCGGGUUGUAAAGCACUUUCAGUGGUGAAGAAAAGCCAGGGGCUAAUACCCCCGGGUCUUGACGUUAGCCACAGAAGAAGCACCGGCUAACUCCGUGCCAGCAGCCGCGGUAAUACGGAGGGUGCGAACGUUAAUCGGAAUUACUGGGCGUAAAGCGCGCGUAGGCGGUUCGGUAAGUGGGAUGUGAAAGCCCUGGGCUCAACCUGGGAACUGCAUUCCAAACUGCCGAGCUAGAGUGUGGUAGAGGGAGGUAGAAUUUCCUGUGUAGCGGUGAAAUGCGUAGAUAUAGGAAGGAAUACCAGUGGCGAAGGCGGCCUCCUGGAUCAACACUGACGCUGAGGUGCGAAAGCGUGGGGAGCAAA
rnacentral:rRNA from 1 species